UACUAUAGCUUGACACUGAACAUUGAGCCUUGAUGUGUAGGAUAGGUGGGAGGCUUUGAAGUGUGGACGCCAGUCUGCAUGGAGCCGACCUUGAAAUACCACCCUUUAAUGUUUGAUGUUCUAACGUUGACCCGUGAUCCGGGUUGCGGACAGUGUCUGGUGGGUAGUUUGACUGGGGCGGUCUCCUCCUAAAGAGUAACGGAGGAGCACGAAGGUUGGCUAAUCCUGGUCGGACAUCAGGAGGUUAGUGCAAUGGCAUAAGC
rnacentral:rRNA from 1 species